rnacentral:rRNA from 1 species
GGAGUUAGCCGGUGCUUCUUCUGUGAGUGAUGUCCUUCCUGCCGGCUAUUAACCCGCAGGCCUUCUUCCUCACUGAAAGUGCUUUACAACCCGAAGGCCUUCUUCACACACGCGGCAUGGCUGGAUCAGGGUUGCCCCCAUUGUCCAAUAUUCCCCACUGCUGCCUCCCGUAGGAGUCUGGGCCGUGUCUCAGUCCCAGUGUGGCUGAUCAUCCUCUCAGACCAGCUACGGAUCGUCGCCUCGGUGAGCCGUUACCUCACCAACCAGCUAAUCCGACAUAGGCUCAUCCGAUAGCGCGAGGCCCGAAGGUCCCCCGCUUUCCCCCGUAGGGCGUAUGCGGUAUUAGCCUGGGUUUCCCCAGGUUAUCCCCCACUACCGGGCAGAUUCCUAUGCAUUACUCACCCGUCCGCCGCUCGCCACCAGGGAGCAAGCUCCCCGUGCUGCCGCUCGACUUGCAUGUGUUAGGCCUGCCGCCAGCGUUCAAUCUGAGCCAGGAUCAAACUCUGA